rnacentral:rRNA from 1 species
GACGAACGCUGGCGGCGUGCUUAACACAUGCAAGUCGAAGAUAGUGGCGAACGGGUUAGUAAUACGUGGGUAACCUGCCCUCCUUUUUGGGCUAAUCCUUGGAAAAGGUGUCUAAUCCCGACUUAAGGGGGCUUGGCUCGCGGCCUAUCAGCUUGUUGGUGGGGUGAGGGCCUGCCAAGGCGGGGACGGGUAGCCGGCCUGAGAGGGCGAGCGGCAACAGAGGGACGGUGAUACGGCCCAGACUACUAAGGGGGGGAGCAGUGGGGGAUAUUGGACAAUGGGUGAAGGAGUGAUGCAGCGACGCCGCGUGGGGGAUGAAGGUUUUAGGGUUGUAAACCUGUGGAGGGAGCGAAUGGGUAGGUGGAGAAGAAGCGCCGGCUAACUACGUGCCAGCAGCCGCGGUAAUAC